rnacentral:rRNA from 1 species
GACGAACCGAGCGAACGUUGUUCGGAAUCACUGGGCUUAAAGGGCGCGUAGGUGGGCUGUCAAGUCUGGGGUGAAAUCCCGCGGCUCAACCGUGGAACUGCCUUAGAUACUGACGGCCUCGAGGGAGGUAGGGGCAUGCGGAACUGAUGGUGGAGCGGUGAAAUGCGUUGAUAUCAUCAGGAACUCCGGUGGCGAAGGCGGCGUGCUGGACCUCUUCUGACGCUGAGGCGCGAAAGCUAGGGGAGCAAACGGG